GGACACAAACAGGUCAUCCGCAAGAAGCCGAGACCUCUUGAAGAAAGAACGACUCUGGGACGGCUGGUGUGAAUGGUGUGCACAACAACAGAUGAUCUGGAAUACUCAAGGGUGUCAUAGAAACCACAAACAAGCCCAGACAGCUGAAGCUACUAAGCCACUGUCUGGAAAUCACCGACCUGUGCCAGAUUGGUGCCGGAUCUUCUCCGGAUCUGCCCCAGAACUACAUCUUCCUGGAACAGCUCUCCUCUCGGGCAAAACCCGUGGGUGCUCACAGUCUCUUGAGGCUUUGGGGAGAAAGGUUUUACCCACUGCUCACAGCUCUGUGCCCACUGGCCAUCGUCACACAUGCAC
ensembl:lncRNA